rnacentral:rRNA from 15 species
GGGUGUGAUCAUACCAGCACUAAAGCACCGAAUCCCAUCAGAACACCAAAGUUUAGCUUGCUUGGGUGAGAGUAGUACUAGGAUGGGUGAUACCCUAGGAAGUCCUCGUGUUGCACACC